rnacentral:rRNA from 1 species
AGUGAACGCUGGCGGUAGGCCUAACACAUGCAAGUCGAACGGCAGCACAGGAGAGCUUGCUCUCUGGGUGGCGAGUGGCGGACGGGUGAGGAAUACAUCGGAAUCUACUCUGUCGUGGGGGAUAACGUAGGGAAACUUACGCUAAUACCGCAUACGACCUACGGGUGAAAGCAGGGGACCUUCGGGCCUUGCGCGAUUGAAUGAGCCGAUGUCGGCUUAGCUAGUUGGCGGGGCAAAGGCCCACCAAGGCCACGAUCCGUAGCUGGUCUGAGAGAAUGAUCCGCCACACUGGAACUGAGACACGGUCCAGACUCCUACGGGAGGCAGCAGUGGGGAAUAUUGGACAAUGGGCGCAAGCCUGAUCCAGCCAUACCGCGUGGGUGAAGAAGGCCUUCGGGUUGUAAAGCCCUUUUGUUGGGAAAGAAAUCCAGCUGGCUAAUACCCGGUUGGGAUGACGGUACCCAAAGAAUAAGCACCGGCUAACUUCGUGCCAGCAGCCGCCGCCG